rnacentral:rRNA from 1 species
UACAGAGACUGCAAGCGUUAUUCGGAUUCACUGGGCGUAAAGGGUGCGCAGGCGGCCGUAUGUGUGAGGCGUGAAAGCCCGGGGCUUAACCCCGGAAUUGCACCUCAAACUAUACGGCUAGAGCAUUGGAGAGGGUAGCAGAAUUCAUGGUGUAGCAGUGAAAUGCGUAGAUAUCUGGAGGAACACCGGUGGCGAAGGCGACAUCCUGGACCGGUAUUGACGCUGAGGCGCGAAAGCCAGGGGAGCAAACGGG